GGGAGAAGGAGGGCCAAGAUGGCGGAAGCGGAGGAGUCUCCAGGAGACCCGGGGACAGCAUCGCCCAGGCCCCUGGUGAGCUUGGGAUCUGCGACAAAAGGGACCGAGGUUUGCAGGCCUUUCAGAUAUAUCCAUCUCACAAGACAUCCCCGUAGAAGGAGAAAUCACCAUUCCUAUGAGAUCUCGCAUCCGGGAGUUUGACAGCUCCACAUUAAAUGAAUCUGUUCGCAAUACCAUCAUGCGUGAUCUAAAAGCUGUUGGGAAAAAAUUCAUGCAUGUUUUGUACCCAAGGAAAAGUAAUACUCUUUUGAGAGAUUGGGAUUUGUGGGGCCCUUUGAUCCUUUGUGUGACACUCGCAUUAAUGCUGCAAAGAGACUCUGCAGAUAGUGAAAAAGAUGGAGGGCCCCAAUUUGCAGAGGUGUUUGUCAUUGUCUGGUUUGGUGCAGUUACCAUCACCCUCAACUCAAAACUUCUUGGAGGGAACAUAUCUUUUUUUCAGAGCCUCUGUGUGCUGGGUUACUGUAUACUUCCCUUGACAGUAGCAAUGCUGAUUUGCCGGCUGGUACUUUUGGCUGAUCCAGGACCUGUAAACUUCAUGGUUCGGCUUUUUGUGGUGAUUGUGAUGUUUGCCUGGUCUAUAGUUGCCUCCACAGCUUUCCUUGCUGAUAGCCAGCCUCCAAACCGCAGAGCCCUAGCUGUUUAUCCUGUUUUCCUGUUUUACUUUGUCAUCAGUU
rnacentral:sRNA from 1 species